rnacentral:rRNA from 1 species
UACGGAGGGUGCGAGCGUUGUCCGGAAUCAUUGGGCGUAAAGCGCUCGUAGGCGGGACUGCAAGUCCGUGUUGAAAGACCUCGGCUCAACUGAGGGACCGGCUCGGAUACUGUGGUUCUUGAGGCAAUCAGAGGUGAUGGAAUUCCCGGUGUAGCGGUGAAAUGCGCAGAUAUCGGGAGGAACACCGGUGGCGAAGGCGGUUCUCUGGGCCUGUACUGACGCUGAGGAGCGAAAGCGUGGGGAGCAAACAGG